rnacentral:lncRNA from 1 species
AUGUCCACCCCCGGAUCCCUCCAUGUCCCCAGCCCCCCCACCACCGCAGUAGCCACCCUCCACCCACCCAAGAAGACCUCCGCCUUCCCAUUUGCUCGUCCUUUGGGCUGGGCAAAACAAAACGGAGACGGCUUUGGGUCCCUGGUGGGCCUGGUGGGCCUCUUGGCUGCUCCUCUCGGCCUCUGGAGGGGCCGCGUGGCUCUCGCUCCCCCUCAGCAGCUGGGGGGCCAGGAUGCUCAGGUUGCUCUUUGUAAAAACAGCUGCGGUAGCCGCGCUCUGAGGCUGCUUGUGCGAAGGCUGGAUGGAAACCCCUGGAUGCAAACCCCUGGAGGGAAACGAGGAGCGGUGGAAGGAAACCACACACAUCCAAGCAGGAGGGAAGAGGCUUUCCUGCAGAGGAGCAAUCUCAGCAGCGCUGCAGAGCGGUGGCACGUGCUCACGUCUUCAUGCUGCGGUGACGUGUUCCCACUGAGCUCAGGGAGAAGCAAAGUCCUGAGCCAAGGGGAAACGGGGAGCCGG